rnacentral:rRNA from 1 species
UACGGGGGGGGGCAAGCGUUGUUCGGAAUUACUGGGCGUAAAGGGCUCGUAGGCGGCCAACUAAGUCGGAUGUGAAAUCCCCAGGCUUAACCUGGGAACUGCAUCCGAUACUGGAUGGCUUGAAUCCGGGAGAGGGAUGCGGAAUUCCAGGUGUAGCGGUGAAAUGCGUAGAUAUCUGGAGGAACACCGGUGGCGAAGGCGGCAUCCUGGACCGGUAUUGACGCUGAGGCGCGAAAGCCAGGGGAGCAAACGGG